GAUAGAGGCGCGGUACACAUGAGUAUCACUUAGCAAAGGCCAGGCAGCCGCUUGGUGAGAAAGGGAAGACCGCCGAAGUUGUAGAGGUGGCCUGCAUUUUUACAACUGGGUCGUCAGAGAAUAUCUGCCGGACUGUCACAGAGUAAUUUGUGAAGCGCUAUCGU
rnacentral:ncRNA from 1 species